GGGGCCAUAGCUCAGUUGGGAGAGCGCGACACUGGCAGUGUCGAGGUCAUCGGUUCGAUCCCGUUUGGCUCCACCA
rnacentral:tRNA from 12 species